rnacentral:rRNA from 1 species
UACGAAGGGGGCUAGCGUUGCUCGGAAUCACUGGGCGUAAAGCGCACGUAGGCGGAUUGUUAAGUCAGGGGUGAAAUCCUGGAGCUCAACUCCAGAACUGCCUUUGAUACUGGCGAUCUCGAGUCCGGGAGAGGUGAGUGGAACUGCGAGUGUAGAGGUGAAAUUCGUAGAUAUUCGCAAGAACACCAGUGACGAAGGCGGCUCACUGGCCCGGUACUGACGCUGAGGUGCGAAAGCGUGGGGAGCAAACAGG